rnacentral:rRNA from 1 species
UACCAGCACCCCGAGUGGUCGGGACGAUUAUUGGGCCUAAAGCAUCCGUAGCCGGUUUUACAAGUCCUCCGUUAAAUCCAACUGCUUAACAGAUGGGCCGCGGAGGAUACUAUAAGACUAGGAGGCAGGAGAGGCAAGCGGUACUCAGUGGGUAGGGGUAAAAUCCUCUGAUCCAUUGAAGACCACCAGUGGCGAAGGCGGCUUGCCAGAACGCGCUCGACGGUGAGGGAUGAAAGCCAGGGGAGCAAACGGG